CCUGACUGCUAUCGGAAUGAUACUAAGCCAUGCGAGUCAUUGUAGCAAUACAAGGCAGACGGCUCAAUAACGCGUAGUCAAUCUACCCUAUGGACGGGAAUAACCUUGGGAAACUGAGAAUAAUGCCCGACAGAACAUUAUACCUGGAACGGUUUAUGUUUCAAAUGAUUUAUCGCCGUAGGAUGGGACUGCGGCCUAUCAGUUUGUUGGUGAGGUAAUGGCCCACCAAGACUAUUACAGGUACGGGCUCUGAGAGGAGUAGCCCGGAGAUGGGUACUGAGACACGGACCCAGGCCCUAUGGGGCGCAGCAGGCGAGGAAACUUUGCAAUGUGCGAAAGCACGACAAGGUUAAUCCGAGUGGUUUCUGCUAAAGAAACCUUUUGCUAGUCCUAGAAACACUAGUGAAUAAGGGGUGGGCAAGUUCUGGUGUCAGCCGCCGCGGUAAAACCAGCACCUCAAGUGGUCAGGAUGAUUAUUGGGCCUAAAGCAUCCGUAGCUCGUUUUGUAAGUUUUCGGUUAAAUCCAUACGCUCAACGUAUGGGCUGCCGGGAAUACUGCAUAACUAGGAAGUGGGAGAGGUAGACGGUACUCGGUAGGAAGGGGUAAAAUCCUUUGAUCUAUUGAUGACCACCUGUGGCGAAGGCGGUCUACCAGAACACGUUCGACGGUGAGGGAUGAAAGCUGGGGGAGCAAACCGGAUUAGAUACCCGGGUAGUCCCAGCUGUAAACUAUGCAAA
rnacentral:rRNA from 1 species